UGGGGAAUAUUGGACAAUGGGCGAAAGCCUGAUCCAGCCAUGCCGCGUGUGUGAAGAAGGCCUUUUGGUUGUAAAGCACUUUAAGCGAGGAGGAGGCUACUAGUACUAAUACUACUGGAUAGUGGACGUUACUCGCAGAAUAAGCACCGGCUAACUCUGUGCCAGCAGCCGCGGUAAUACAGAGGGUGCGAGCGUUAAUCGGAAUUACUGGGCGUAAAGCGCGCGUAGGUGGUUCGUUAAGUUGAAUGUGAAAGCCCCGGGCUCAACCUGGGACGUGCAUCCAAAACUGGCGAGCUAGAGUAGGGCAGAGGGUGGUGGAAUUUCCUGUGUAGCGGUGAAAUGCGUAGAUAUAGGAAGGAACACCAGUGGCGAAGGCGACCACCUGGGCUCAUACUGACACUGAGGUGCGAAAGCGUGGGGAGCAAACAGG
rnacentral:rRNA from 1 species